GACGAACGCUGGCGGCGUGCUUAACACAUGCCAGUCGAACGGAAAGGCCCUGCUUUUGUGGGGUGCUCGAGUGGCGAACGGGUGAGUAACACGUGAGUAACCUGCCCUUGACUUUGGGAUAACUUCAGGAAACUGGGGCUAAUACCGGAUAGGAGCUCCUGCUGCAUGGUGGGGGUUGGAAAGUUUCGGCGGUUGGGGAUGGACUCGCAGCUUAUCAGCUUGUUGGUGAGGUAGUGGCUUACCAAGGCUUUGACGGGUAGCCGGCCUGGGAGGGUGACCGGCCACAUUGGGACUGAGAUACGGCCCAGACUCCUACGGGAGGCAGCAGUGGGGAAUAUUGCACAAUGGGCGGAAGCCUGAUGCAGCAACGCCGCGUGCGGGAUGACGGCCUUCGGGUUGUAAACCGCUUUCGCCGGUGCCGAAGCGUGAGUGACGGUAAUGGGUAAAGAAGCACCGGCUAACUACGUG
rnacentral:rRNA from 1 species